rnacentral:rRNA from 1 species
AUUGAACGCUGGCGGCAUGCCUAACACAUGCAAGUCGAACGAGUGGCGGACGGGUGAGUAAUGUCUGGGAAACUGCCUGAUGGAGGGGGCUAACUACUGGAAACGGUAGCUAAUACCGCAUACUAUCGGAUGUGCCCAGAUGGGAUUAGCUAGUAGGUGGGGUAAAGGCUCACCUAGGCGACGAUCCCUACCUGGUCUGAGAGGGUGACCGGCCACCCUGGAACUGAGACACGUUCCAGACUCCUAAGGGAGGCAGCAGUGGGGAAUAUUGCGCAAUGGACGCAAGCCUGAUGCAGCAAUGCCGCGUGUGUGAAGAAGGCGUUCGGGUUGUAAAGUACUUUCGGCGGGGAGGCGUUACCCAAAGAAGAAGCACCGGCUAACUCCGUGCCAGCAGCCGCGGUAAUUC